rnacentral:rRNA from 1 species
UAAUUCUAGAGCUAAUAUUUUCAAAAAUGCCGUGACUCACGAAGCGGCGGAUUUAUUAGAUCAAAACCAACCUGCCGCAAGGCGGUUCUUUGAUGAAUCUGGAUAACUUUACUGAUCGUACAACCUUUGCGUUGACGACAUAUCUCUUGAAAAGGCUGACCUAUCAACUUUCGAUGGUAAGAUCAAAGCUUACCAUGGUUGUAACGGGUAACGGGGAAUCAGUGUUCGAUUCCGGAGAGGGAGCCUGAGAAACGGCUACCACAUCUACGGAAGGCAGCAGGCGCGUAAAUUACCCAAUACCGGCUCGGUGAGGUAGUGACAAAAAAUAAUAAUAUGGGCCCUAGUGGUUUCAUAAUUGCAAUGAGAACAUUUUAAAUACUUUAUCAAGUAUCAAUUGGAGUAAACUAUGCCAACUGACAGUUAGUGAAGGUGGUUUUACGUCCUCACUAGAAGUCACCGGGAAACCAAAGUCUAUGGGUUCCGGGGGAAGUAUGGUUGCAAAGCUGAAACUUAAAGGAAUUGACGGAAGGGCACCACCAGGAGUGGAGCCUGCGGCUUAAUUUGACUCAACACGGGAAAUCUCACCCGGUCCGGACACUGUGAGGAUUGACAGAUUGAUAGCUCUUUCUUGAUUCGGUGGGUGGUGGUGCAUGGCCGUUCUUAGUUGGUGGAGCGAUUUGUCUGGUUAAUUCCGAUAACGAACGAGACUCUGACCUGCUAACUAGUACACUCGUGUUUAAUCGCGAGUGCUGACUUCUUAGAGGAAUAUGUAGCUUUUAGCUAAAUGAAAUUGAGCAAUAACAGGUCUGUGAUGCCCUUAGAUGUCCGGGGCCGCACGCGCGCUACAAUGGCAGUACCAGCGAGUUUGUCCUAGCUAGAUAUGGCCGGGUAAUCUGCUGAAACACUGUCGUGUCAGGAAUAGUGGAUUGCAAUUUUCCCACUUGAACGAGGAAUUCCUAGUAAGCGCAAGUCACUAGCUUGCGCUGAUUACGUCCCUGCCCUUUGUACACACCGCCCGUCGCUA